CAAUCACUUCUUGAAGAAGUAUAAUUGUAAAUAAGCCAUGUAAAAUGCCUUUUUUUUUUUUUUUUUUAAUUUUCUAGCCGGCUCCAACUCAAACCGAGGGUUUAUAUAUCAGAUCCUGUAUUGGUUUGGCAGAUGCAGGAACUCGGCUAAAAGGGAACGACAGCCAUCUCCCCGGUUGCUGUCACUGUGGAAGGGAGUGGACAUAGAGCAUGUCACAGCAGAACAAAACAGCCCAGUCAUUAUCACCAGUGGCCAGCUGCUUCUGCCUCACCUCGCGUCCCCUUUUCCGAAAGCGUUGCUCUUGACUUUGGCUUUGGUUUUCUCUUCCCUGUUGGGCAGUCCUUCCCGGUCCCAGCCUUGUGCUGAACAGGAAGCUGUGUUAGGAUAGUGCUGUCCUGCUUGAAGCAAACCCUUCAGGUGGGCCCAGUGCACACCACUGGGUCUCUCACCUUGGUGUCUCAUCCUUUCCUCGGCAUCAGGAGAGAGUGGGGGUGUUGGUUUUUCCUACUUUCUGUUUCUCUCUCUCUCUUUCGCUUGCUCUUGUGGACCGUGGCCACAGUUUUUGAAAUCUGUGCCUAAAUUACCAACCAGCUUCAAUGAUUCCUCUGAAUAUUCCCCUUUUUGGUUUCUGGAAAGGUUUUUUUUUUUUUGGUGAACAUUAUUAACUAGUGUUGGGUUGGCCAAAAAGCUUGCUUGGGUCAUUCUGUACCAUCGUAUGGGAAAGCCCAAAUGAACUUCUUGGCCAGCCCAAUAUAUAGAAUCAUGAGCAACUGAAUGAUGUGGAACUUAGCCAGGGAGCAGGUGACACUUGUGUGCUGCGGGUCAACUGGGAUCCAGGCUAGACCAAAUCAGAGCUUUGGGAUUAGCUUAACAAAGCUGCCGGACAGACAGACACAGGAGCCCACAUGCUCCUUUCACACCCCCAUGUGCUUUUUUGAAGUCAGAUUCUAAAUUGCAUUUGAAUUUGUGCCUCUCUGUUUCCCUUGAGCCAAAUCCCUCACCUCAUAGUUCCCUUUGGCUCCUGCAGAAUUCUGAGGAAUACCAGGUUUCCCCCAUCCUUUUCCAUAAAACAUAUUUAUGUAUCCAUACUAAAGAGUACUUUCUGAGGAGUACUUCAUAGUUUUUUUUUUUAAUUGCCUUGUUUGCCUUCAGUUUCCUUAAUUUUCAUGGUUUACAUGGAUGUGUGUGUAGGGGCUAUAUUUGUGUAUAUACACGUGGGUUGGGGUUUUUGCAUGUGUGGGUUCCAUGGACGUAUGAUCCCCACAAGCUGUGGGAGUGAUUGGCCAGGCCUUGUUUUUUUAAUGUGUGUUUUUGUUCUUUCGAAGAAGAGGAUGCUAUUUAGAAAAGAAACCGCAUUGCAAACCUCUUACCAGCUCAUAUGAGAGAGCAGAUUCCUGCCCUUGAGCACGCUGGUAAGUUGUUAUCAUAAAUGUUUUAAAAGAGUUUUGAGCAUUUCAUGCUUUAAAAGACCUUCACAGGGAAUAUGACACACAAAGUUCUUUUGGUUUUCCUUUGACGUAAGGUGCAUAAAGCAAUAAAAAUUUCUUUCCCCCUUCCUCCAUGCGCCCCCAGGCCUCGUGCUGGCCUGGCCUCUUCUUUCUCUGAGAGCUGUGAGCUGCUUUCAGUGUGACAAAAUUACUAUGUCCUUUGGAAGAAUUUGCCAGGGCAGACUGAUCAUUGGUCAGGGAUGGCCCGUGUUUGAAGCCUUUCAUUAGCAUAUUUGCCGUAAGAACAAAUGCUGGCAGAAAGCUAACAACACCUAAUUUGACAAAGAAAAUGCUGGCUUGAGGACAAAAGGAAAAAGUCUUUCCAGGGCUGGAAGUUGGGUAACUUAAAUCAUCUUGCAAUCAUGUGUGAGUUUGUUUUAUCUGUGUGAAGUCUCUUACUGUGCACUGUUAAAUCAUUUAUCCACUAAACUGAGUGGGGAAACGUAAAAGAAAAAAUGAAAAACCACAGCCAGCCCCACGUGCUGUUGAUAGCGUGUUGAUAGCGUGAAAUUAUCAUGUUAAACAACAAGAACCAAGUGUGACCUUGCGCGUAUUUUGGCAGCUGAAAUUCCUUAAGGCUACCAAACGGAUGACCCCUUAAAUCAGCCUUGCCUUUCGAUUGCAGUGUGCAAGGAAAAGUCUUCUUUCACACUGAUUUUUUUGGCGGGGAGGGAGUGUCCACAAAGCUAUUCAUAUUGACAACACAGGGCCUCCCCUAAGCCGCUCCACCACGGACACCUAUAGCUGAACGACAGCCACGUGGACUGAUGGUAUCCACUCACCAAUGACGAUGACAUUGAACUAGCUUGUUUCCAUCACUACGAUUUUUUGAGCUUGCUCUUAUGUUUUAAGAGGUGCCAGGGGUACAUUUUUGCACUGAAAUCUAAAGAUGUUUUAAAAAACACUUUUCACAAGAAUAUAGUCCUUUGUCAUUACAUUAUUUACUCAUGUGUUUGUACAUUUUUGUAUGUUAAUUUAUGAAUGAUUUUUUCAGUAAAAAAUACAUAUUCAAGAACCAAA
ensembl:lncRNA